GGGGGGGGGGGGACGACAUGCCUCUCCUAAGGUGGCACCAAUCAUCCAUGCUGAUGGCUGAAAAUCAGCCGUAUGAACCAUUACCGAUCCCAUAGCCGAUUUACAGGAACGCAUCCCGGCAGAUUGGAAAGCAGCUUCCUGCCAGUCCUGAAUGCCCUCAAAUCCCACUGAAGUCAGCAGGUCCCUACCAGGGCAGAUCUAGUGGGAGUGGAGGGGCACAAUCACAUGCCCACUUUGGACCACAGCACAGAAGUGGCAGCCAAGGACUUCUUUUAAAUUCCCAAAGCAGGCACGUUAUUGCUGGUGAAUGUAGUCGCAAUCAGCUGUUGCAGAGGUCAGCCAGAUUGGUCCUGCUGUUGAGCUCUUUUGGACACUUUCCACUCCAUCACAAAUUAACACCUUCAAAAGCUCCCUUGUGAAAGACAGACCAGCAAACACUGGACAGAGCUUUUCUCCUCUGUAGUUUCUCUUCUCUUUUCUGUAUGCCCUUUUACUCCUGCACCCCUUGUCCUUCUUCCCUCUCUACCUCUUCAUACUCCUGUCCAUAUGGCACGGCUUCUCCCUUCCACUUUGCUGGAUCUGGUCUAUACCAAUAUAUCUGCCUGCAACGAGCCAAACUGAGCUGCAGUUAGAGGCAGGAUCAGUCCUUGAACGGAAGACAUUGCUGACAGAAGAGACUACGUAUCCAAGCAGGCCACGGUGACAAUUGCAGGAACACUAAGAUACACAUUUUUAAUAAUGGGUGAUGUCUAUAGAUCAGUACACAAUACCACCAGAAUAUUACUGUCCUUUUUUACAUUAAUAUCAUACUUUCUUUUCAUACAAUCUUAAUGAGACUUCAUGCUCUGAAAAUAGUACUUGGGGAGGCAGAUGUACCCACCCAGCCAUCCAAGGAAACCUCAACUACCCUAAUACACUUCCACGCAUGGGGAAGAAAAAGUAUUUGCAUGUUUAAAUAAGACUUUUUCCCUCUAGGGUUCAGCUCUCCAGCUUCUUUAAAGAUUGGGGUAGGAAGUACUAUCACUAUCUCUUGAAUUUCAAAUAAUUUAUUGUUUUAAGCAAAAUAAGAAUACAUUACUCAAACCUCUGUAUCCCAUCUUACUAAUUUAUUACACGUUUAAUAAAC